UUGGAGGGCAAGUCUGGUGCCAGCAGCCGCGGUAAUUCCAGCUCCAAUAGCGUAUAUUAAAGUUGUUGCAGUUAAAAAGCUCGUAGUUGAAUUUCGGGGUUAGUAGGUUGGUCAUGCCUCUGGUAUGUACUGGUCUCACUGAUUCCUCCUUCCUGAUGAACCUUAAUGCCAUUAAUUUGGUGUUUUGGGGAAUUUGGACUGUUACUUUGAAAAAAUUAGAGUGUUUAAAGCAAGCUAACGCUUGAAUACAUUAGCAUGGAAUAAUGAAAUAGGACGUUCGAUCCUAUUUUGUUGGCUUCUAGGAUUGACGUAAUGAUUAAUAGGGAUAGUUGGGGGCAUUAGUAUUCAAUUGUCAGAGGUGAAAUUCUUGGAUUUAUUGAAGACUAACUACUGCGAAAGCAUUUGCCAAGGAUGUUUUCAUUAAUCAAGAACGAAAGUUAGGGGAUCGAAGACGAUCAGAUACCGUCGUAGUCUGAACCAUGAACUAUGCCGACUAGGGAUCGGAUGAUGUUAAUUUUUUAAUGACUCAUUCGGCGCCUUACGGGAAAC
rnacentral:rRNA from 1 species